AUUCAAUGGCCAUGGAAGAGUGGGACUGACAGAAGAGAGUGAGCAUACACAUAUAAUUAUAUAAACAUGUUCACAUAAUUCUUUUGAUAUAUAUAUAUAAUUUUGCGUGUGCUCACUUCUCUUUCUGUCAAUCUCUCUUGGAAGGAUCGAUUCAAAUGGUACGUAAAUUAGAUUUAGAUCGUAUCGUGAGAUUGGUUUCUAUUGUGUUGAAGGAAGAAAUACAAUGAGUCAAACCCUAGUGGAAGAGGAUCGAAUUGGCCUAACCUAUGAUGUAUCGCCAGCAGCAGCAGCAGAUCAAGAAAAUUAAAGUUUCCAGUUUUGUGGUUUUAUGGAUUUGUAAGUGAAAAUUCUGGAGCCGCCACCGAUUCCUGUAUAUAUAGGAUGACAUGAAAUCUGUGUUAGGGCAAGGAAGAAAAUUAGUAAAGAUUACAACUUUGAAUAUUGCUAUCAAUGGAAGUUGAAAAAGUUCCUCUUACAGGGCGUUGAAAAGAUCGAAGGCAUGUGACUGAACUUGUAGUGCAGUUUCUCAGUAUCCAAAAUUGUCAACGUCCUGAUUUUCAUCGUGUUGAGUUGAGUUGGAUAUGGGGGAGAAAAGCUUGUUGGUUUGAAGUUGAAAGAUAGCCGAUUUACUCAACUUUGGCAAGGCUCCAACAUUUAUAUAUAGUCGGAGUACUAAUUAUCCGGCCAUUUUGCUUUCUUGCUCUUUGAUUUGUUUCACUAUGACAGGUUGUAGUAAGGUUGAUUUGUUUCAUCAACCUUUUCCAAUCACAGAAGCUACUAAGGACCCCGGAUUUUUCAGGUGCAAGCAUCGGUAGUCUUAACUGACUCAUACACCUCGAAUUGGUCUCCAGAGCUUCGUCAAUGUAUAGAAGACGUGCAAUGCAGAUGAAUGUACUAACAGAAAUCAAUGAGUAAAAUAUCCAAUGUUGCGCGGAGCUUGGUAUAAAUGAGGCUGGGGAAGUUUCUGUAGUCUGGUUCUCUUGCCUGGAUAGGCCUUUGGGACGGAGCUAGCAUGAGAAGUACGGGUUUGAGUUACUUUGGAGCAAAUCAUGUAUGUUCGUUCAUUGAAUAUCUUUAAAUUUUGAAUUCACCUCUACUCGUAAACAAGUGUAUGAUCCAAUUUACAGAUAAGAUUGUGAGUAGUAUGUCAAAUUUCACUUCUUAUUUGACUGGUGUAUGUUGUUCAAGUGUUCUUGAUGAGUAACUUUUUAUUAUUGUUGUAUUCUAAGUCAUAUAAAUUCAUAUGUAUAUUUUUUCCC